rnacentral:lncRNA from 1 species
CACUCAUUUUCAGGGUGGUUCUUCCCAAACAAAGUUGAGCAGCCAGGGUACGUUUCUUGAAGAGUUGGGCCUAGCAAUAUGGCAGCGCACAUUCGAUAAGAAAUCUUGUAAAGUGCUGCUACUGAGUUCAAUCCUGAAGAAGUGCACAGAACACGUUUGUGUGCAUGAUAUGGCUCUGUUCUGCGUCCAGGACCACAUGCUCUCCCACCCGUUUCCUUGGCCACCGCACACACUUUGCAGGGCCAGAAGUCUUUGAAUUCCGGGUGCUCCUGAAUUGUGUUUAGGCUCCUGCAUUAGUUGGCCUGAUUUUUUCAAAGAUGCUGAACCCCUGAAACUCCUCCUCUUGGUAUGAUUUGGAUGGAAAUUUUGGGUGCUGAAAACUUUGGAAAAGCUGGAUACUUUUAAGGUAGGUAUCUAAGUAAAAGCAUAGGAAUCUAAAUUUAGACAAUCAAUUUAGAUAAUCUUUGGAAAGAUGA